GUUAUUGAAUAUAUAAUCUAAUUGGACAUAAAAACAUAGGUAGCUGCAGGCUGAACAGGAAUGAAUUAUGACCAGCUUGAGAUUGGUUUAAAAUUAUUAGAGGUCCCCUAAUGUUUGGCUCGAGCUCAUGACGAGCUGGAAAAGUUUAGGGUGUGUUUGUUUCGAGUUAACCUGGCAGGAUUACAGUCAAUCCUGACAGAAUUACUAUGUUUAGUUCAUCCGCUAUGUAAUAUAGUCGUUAAUAUAACAUUACAAAUCGAGUGGCAUUAAACUGAAAAUAUUAAUUAAAGGGGGUCGUGUAUCUUGCAUUACUGAAAACCGGUAAUACUACAUAUAAUGUAAAAUGACAAUUUUAUCCUUAUUUUUAAAAAAAUCUAAUUUAAAAUUUUGAAUUGUCAACUUUUAAUUUUUAAUUUUAAAAUUUAAAAUUUUUAAACUUUAAAUUUAAAUUUUUAAUUUUAGAAUUUAAAUUUAAAUUUAAAUUUUAGAUUUUAAAUUAUAAGUUUUAAAUUUAAAUUUUUAAUUUUUAAUUUUAAUUUUCAAAUUUUAAUUUUCAAUUUUUAAUUUUUAAUUUUUAAUUUUUAAAUUUUAAAACACAAAUUUGUAUUUUAAAUUCUGAAUUUUAAAUUUAGAUUUUAAUUUUUUAUUUUAUAUAUAUUUAUAUUUAUAUUUUAGAUUUUAAAUUUAAAAAUUUUAUAUUUUAUAUUUUAAAUUAAAAUAUUAAAUUUAUAUUUUUGUUAAAAUUUAAAAUUUAAAAUUUAAAAUUUAAAAUUUUAAAAAUUAAAUUAUUUAAAAUAAAAUCUGGUAAAAAAAUAUUACUUAUAAACAAUAAAAAAAAUUUACGAAAUAUGACUAAGGGCAAUUUUGGAAUAGACUAUAUUUUAUUGUUUAGAUUACGAAAUUUUUAUAGAGAGAACCAAACAUAGUAACACUAUAAACACUGCAAUCUAAUAUUACAUUACUGUAUUAAACUAAACGCAUUAAUGUAGUAUGAGUAGUAAUCUCAUUUAGAAAUCAAAGAUGCAUGGAUAUAUUGAAAUACUUUGUAAUAUUAAAUAACUCGAACCAAACGCGCUUUUAGUUUGUGCUCGGAUUGCAAUUUAAUAAGCUAGCUCUUA
rnacentral:lncRNA from 1 species